CCUACGGGUGGCAGCAGUGAGGAAUAUUGGUCAAUGGGCGGAAGCCUGAACCAGCCAAGUAGCGUGCGGGAUGAAGGCCCUACGGGUCGUAAACCGCUUUUGCACGGGGAUAACACCCUCCACUUGUGGAGGUCUGCAGGUACCGUGCGAAUAAGGGCCGGCUAAUUCCGUGCCAGCAGCCGCGGUAAUACGGAAGGCCCGAGCGUUAUCCGGAUUUAUUGGGUUUAAAGGGAGCGUAGGUGGAUUGUUAAGUCAGUUGUGAAAGUUUGCGGCUCAACCGUAAAAUUGCAGUUGAAACUGGCAGUCUUGAGUACAGUAGAGGUGGGCGGAAUUCGUGGUGUAGCGGUGAAAUGCUUAGAUAUCACGAAGAACUCCGAUUGCGAAGGCAGCUCACUGGACUGCAACUGACACUGAGGCUCGAAAGUGUGGGUAUCAAACAGGAUUAGAUACCCGGGUAGUC
rnacentral:rRNA from 1 species